rnacentral:snRNA from 1 species
AGCUUUGCGCAGUGGCAGUAUCGUAGCCAAUGAGGUUUAUCCGAGGCACGAUUAUUGCUAAUAAUAUUCUUUGCUUCUCCCAAAAGCCACAAUAUUUUAUUUAUUUUCACUAUCUUGCUAAGGA